GACAGAGGAGGCAAGCGUUAUCCGGAAUUAUUGGGCGUAAAGCGUCCGUAGGUGGUUUGGCAAGUCUGGGGUUAAAGCCCGGAGCCUAACUCCGGAUCGGCCCUGGAAACUGCCAGACUAGAGUAAGGUAGGGGUUGCGGGAAUUCCCGGUGUAGCGGUGAAAUGCGUAGAUAUCGGGAAGAACGCCAGUGGCGAAAGCGUGCAACUGGGCCCUAACUGACGCUGAGGUACGAAAGCUAGGGGGGCGAAUGGG
rnacentral:rRNA from 1 species